UGGUGCCCUUGGCUCAAGAGGCGGGCUUCCAGGUGAGGGUGCGCGCGCAGUGGUUGCGUUAAUCCGGAUGCGACCUCCUCCGGCCGGCGGGGCUCGGAGUCACCGCGAUGGCGGCCUUCGUUCUGCUGCGGCAAGGGCGAGCCGGGGCGCUGAAGACUCUGCUUCUAGACGGACCAGUGUUUCGAGGUCUCGCGUCUACAGCUGCUCUCUCUGCAGAAUCAGGAAAGAGUGACAAGGGAGUGCCACCAAAUUCCAAGAAGCAAAUUCCACCCAAAAAUGUAGUGGACCCAAAAGAGAGGGGCAAGCUACUAACCACUCCAACAGCAGCUGAGUUGUCUAAAAACUUAACUUCACCCAGUUCUUCCUCAUCAGUUGUGAAUCAAGGUGGGACGGUAGCUAGCCCUAACCCUGGUGACAACGUGCAAUUUACAGAUGACAGGGUUGCAAAGUUUUCAUCAAGAAAGACUUUGGUAGAGUUUCCUGCAAAAGUUCCAUCUUCAUUCAGAAAACAGGGCUCCGAUUCAGAAGCUCUUCAGAAGAGCAAGAGAGUGAUGGACAGUUCAUCUUCAUCGUCAUCUUCAUCCAGCUCCUCUGAUUCAGAGUCUGACGAGGAGAAAGAUGGCUCAGCAGUUGGUUCUCAACUGGUGAGCAAAAGCAAAGGAAGGGUUUCAAAACCAGAGGCCUCCCCUUCCUUUGAGAAUAGAGCCUCCAAAAUUUCAUUAUCAGCAAAAGAGAAAACCAGGUCACCACAGCCACCACUGGACCUCCCCUUGCCAGAAAAGCCCCGUCAGGCAAUGAAAGGGACCUCCUUUAUGCCAUUAAAGGACAAGAAAGAUGAAGCAAAACCCACAGUACCCAAGUCACAAGGAGGUGAAGAGUUUAUGAAGCAAAACGUAAAGGAAGAAAAACUGCAGAAAAUAGUUAGCUCGAAUAAAAUAGAUGAAAGCCAAAAGCCAUUUGAAGGUAAAAAGAUUCCAUUUGACCAUACGACAUCAGGGUUAUCUGCACAACCGAGUGGUGGCCCGGUGUCCACUCCAUUGACAGAAGAACCCACCGCAGGAAGACGGCUGCAAGCAGCUCCUCCUGAGACCAGAGGAGGAAGCUUAGGAAAACCAGUCCCAAAGCCUGGUGGGGAGGUGCCCUUUUCCCCAUUCAAAAAGGAAAGUUUGGGGAAGCAGCCGAAGGAAGGACCCUCAAAGGCUGACAAAGAGAUGUUGGAAGAUCGGGGACCAAUGAAAAAUUUGAAGCCAGUUCCUGUUCCUAAUAAAGACGUUCUCCAUGCAAAGACAACAGGACUAAAGCUUGAGGCAAAGGGUGAAACCAUGGAAGACCCAGCAACCCAAGUGGGAGACCAGCAGGCCACACAGGUGCCAGCGCUUACCAGACUGCUCAGGACCUCAAGAACUGCAUUGCCUAACGCUCCUGUUUCAGCCACUGUGUUGUAAUGAGGAAAACCGAAACCUUCAGGAGGAAAGCACAAUUUGGGGUUUUCAGAUUGCAAAUCUUUUUGAAAGACUUAGCUCCUAAUUUUUCAUGGAUGUGUGGAUUUUCAAUAUUCUCUUUGCCCUUUGGAGGUGAGCAAUGCCGUCCAGGAGCGCAGGGGCUGUGUCUGUGCAGUGGACUGAAUGUCCCUAAGUCCACCCGGCUCUGUGCCUUCCAAAGGGAUCGGUUUUGAUAAGUUUUCUGCACCCAUGGUUACCUUCACUUUGAAGAUGCCCCACACCACAUCGAAGAUACUCGACUCGUGGAGAUUGGAAAGAGCCUGCACCAGCCGCCACUCCUGCCGCCGCUCCUGCCGCAGAGCCUCCUGAGCCGUUUGACAACACCACCUACAAGAACCUCCAGCAUCAUGACUACAACGUGUACACCUUCUUAGACGUGAACCUGGACCUCUCGAACCGGAGGUUGCCUCA